rnacentral:rRNA from 1 species
GGUUUGAUUAUGGCUCAGAUUGAACGCUGGCGGAUGUGCUUUACACAUGCAGAGUCGAACGGCAGCACGGACUUCGGUCUGGUGGCGAGUGGCGAACAGGUGGUAUGUAUCGGAACGUGCCUAGUAGCGGGGGAUAACUACGCGAAAGCGUAGCUAAUACCGCAUACGCCCUUCGGGGAAAGCGGGGGACCUUCGGGCCUCGCACUAUUAGAGCGGCCGAUAUCGGAUUAGCUAGUUGGUGGGGUAACGGCUCGCAAGGCGACGAUCCGUAGCUGGUUUGAGGACGACCAGCCACACUGGGACUGAGACACGGCCCAGACUCCUACGGGAGGCAGCAGUGGGGAAUUUUGGACAAUGGGGGAAACCUGAUCCAGCCAUCCCGCGUGCGAUGAAGGCCUUCGGGUUGUAAAGCACUUUUGGUAGGAAAGAAACGGCACGGGAUAAUACCCCGUGCAACUGACGGUACCUGCAGAAUAAGCACCGGCUAACUACGUGCCAGCAACCGCGGGCAUGCGUAAGGUACAAGCGUUAAUCGGAAUUACUGGGCGUAAAGCGUGCGCAGGCGGUUCGGAAGAAAGAUGUGAAAUCCCAGAGCUUAACUUUGGAACUGCAUUUUUAACUACCGAGCUAGAGUGUGUCAGAGGGAGGUGGAAUUCCGCGUGUAGCAGUGAAAUGCGUAGAUAUGCGGAGGAACACCGAUGGCGAAGGCAGCCUCCUGGGAUAACGCGGCUCAUGCACGAAAGCGUGGGAGCAAACAGGAUUAGAUACUGGUAGUCCACGCCUAAACGAUGUCAACUAGCUGUUGGGGCCUUCGGGCCUUGGUAGCGCAGCUAACGCGUGAAGUUGACCGCCUGGGGAGUACGGUCGCAAGAUUAAAACUCAAAAGGAAUUGACGGGGACCCGCACAAGCGGUGGAUGAUGUGGAUAAUUCGAUGCAACGCGAAAAACCUUACCUACCCUUGACAUGUCUGGAAUCCCGAAGAGAUUUGGGAGUGCUCGCAAAGAGAACCGGAACACAGGUGCUGCAUGGCUGUCGUCAGCUCGUGUCGUGAGAUGUUGGGUUAAGUCCCGCAACGAAGGCGCAACCCUUGUCAUUAGUUGCUACGAAGAGGGCACUCUAAUGAGACUGCCGGUAUUGACAAACCGGAGGAAGGUGGGGAUGACGUCGUCCUCAUGGCCCUUAUGGGUAGGGCUUCACACGUCAUACAAUGGUCGGGACAGAGGGUCGCCAACCCGCGAGGGGGAAGACCAAUCCCAGAAACCCGAUCGUAGUCCGGAUCGCAGUCUGCAACUCGACUGCGUGAAGUCGGAAUCGCUGGUAAUCGCGGAUCAGCAUGUCGCGGUGAAUACGUUCCCGGGUCUUGUACACACCGUCCGUCACACCAUGGGAGUGGGUUUUACCAGAAGUAGUUAGCCUAACCGUAAGGAGGGCGAUUACCACGGUAGGAUUCAUGACUGGGGUGAAGUCGUAACAAGGUAA